AUAGCUCUAACCAACUGCUAGCUCUAUAAGCAGGAUCUUUAUGCCAAGGCUUUAAAAAUGGUAAAUUGAAACACUGCUACAUAAAAGAACAAGCAAACNGCAAGGAAAACACGUCAAGAAUAACACAGAGCAAAAUCAAAACAUAAACUUUAUCAGUCAACAAAAAAAGGUUUUUAAAAAGCAGAAAAUGGCAAUUUGGGAGGAAUCGGCUGAACUGGAUCUGUCAAACGAAGUAGACCAGUGUGCAGUGCCAAUACCAAGAAGGACAGAGGUCUUCCUCCUCAGAUGUACAGGGGUCAAAUGGGAAAAAUUCCACAGCAGCGGCUUUUUACGAAUGGAACAGGGUCUAAUAAGGGCACUNGUGNCCUUANGUAGAGGCNAANAGAAGNGGNAAGAAAGGGGAAACUGGCNUAAAUCUACCCUAAACUAACCCACAAAACUCUAGCUCAGGCAGGAGAAGCCGGUUCUCACCCUCAGAAGCAAAGUUCUUUAAGAACUCUCNGACGAAUGCCAUCUGAUCCUGGAGAACUAAAAAUAAAAUUAAGGACACUAAGGAUAAAAUCAGACGAUAUUGAAAGAAAGAAAAGUGCAAGGCUGCUGUCAGAAAGGGGAAGAACUUCGGAGCGGUGCAGCGGAUGCAGAGCAGGAUCCCAUCCACUGACUGCUGCACACGCAGGGGACAGAGGUUCGGGUGUCCCCCCAGAGGAAGAAAGCUGUUCGACUGAGAUUGAGGAAAGGUAACAGGAGUUUGCACAGGAAUUUGGAGGACUGACUGCUGCUCCUCUGGCGGGUUUGUUGGGUAGAUCCUCUGGGUUUUGGAGGGUUUCCUGGGCACUUGGCGUAUUGCUGGUUUCGCCACUAGAGGGUGGCUGCUUUCUAAGGUAGCCUGAGCACAUGGACUGACAGAGGAGAGGCCUGAGCACCUUUUUAUUUUAUUUAUGUGUUAUACCCACAGAUUUCAGGGUGGGUCACAAUAGAACCAAUACAAAGGUAGAUCAAAUAAAUUACUUAAAAUGGCGAUAAUGUCUGCA
rnacentral:lncRNA from 1 species